rnacentral:tRNA from 1 species
GCCCGGAUGGCGAAAUCGGUAGACGCAAGGGACUUAAAAUCCCUCGACCUUGCGGUCAUGCGGGUUCGAGCCCCGCUCCGGGCACCA